rnacentral:rRNA from 1 species
GAUGAACGCUAGCGGCAGGCCUAAUACAUGCAAGUCGAGGGGUAGAGUUAGCUUGCUAACUUGAGACCGGCGCACGGGUGCGUAACGCGUAUGCAACCUACCUUUAUCUGGGGGAUAGCCCGAAGAAAUUCGGAUUAACACCGCAUAAAAUCACAGUAUCGCAUGAUACAAUGAUCAAAUAUUUAUAGGAUAAAGAUGGGCAUGCGUGUCAUUAGUUAGUUGGCGGGUAACGGCCCACCAAGACCACGAUGACUAGGGGAUCUGAGAGGAUGACCCCCCACACUGGUACUGAGACACGGACCAGACUCCUACGGGAGCAGCAGUAAGGAAUAUUGGUCAAUGGAGGCAACUCUGAACCAGCCAUGCCGCGUGCAGGGAAGACGGCCCUCUGGGUUGUAAACUGCUUUUAUUCGGGAAUAAACCUAUCUACGUGUAGAUAGCUGAAUGUAACCGAAGGAAUAAGGAU